UUCUAAGAUCAUACCACCCUGAACAUACCGGAACUUAUCUGAUCUUGGAAGCUAGGUAGGGUCCGGCUUGAUUCGUGCUUGGAUAAGAGAAUGAAUAUAUCAAUCUUAGGAG
rnacentral:rRNA from 1 species